UGACGGGACCGCACAAGCGGCGGAUGAUGUGGUUUAAUUCGAUGCAACGCGAAAACCUUACCACCUUGACAUGGCAGGAAUCCUGAAGAGAUUUGGGAGUGCUCGAAAGAGAACCUGCACACAGGUGCUGCAUGGCUGUCGUCAGCUCGUGUCGUGAGAUGUUGGGUUAAGUCCCGCAACGAGCGCAACCCUUGCCAUUAGUUGCUACGAAAGGGCACUCUAAUGGGACUGCCGGUGACAAACCGGAGGAAGGUGGGGAUGACGUCAAGUCCUCAUGGCCCUUAUAGGUGGGGCUACACACGUCAUACAAUGGAUGGUACAAAGGGUCGCCAACCCGCGAGGGGGAGCCAAUCCCAUAAAGCCAUUCGUAGUCCGGAUCGCAGUCUGCAACUCGACUGCGUGAAGUCGGAAUCGCUAGUAAUCGUGGAUCAGAAUGUCACGGUGAAUACGUUCCCGGGUCUU
rnacentral:rRNA from 1 species